GCUAGCUCAGAGGUACUUACCUUCCCCAGGAGUGAGCUUCUGGAAAAUGGGUUCAGCACAGAAGUUUCUGGCCUGGAAUUCCUUCUAGCCUUCCUGUCGUGGGUCUCAGUGUCUGGAGUUGUUUCCUGAAGCUGAGGAUGCGACAGGAAGAGAAACAUGACGUUAUUGCUGUUGUUUUUAAAACCUGGAGAUUCGAGACUUGAGGACGACUUCUAAAUUCCCUGGGCUGCAGGGGCCCCUGAGGGGCCACCCAGCUCAUUCCCCUGUCUCUGAACAGUCAGUCUGUACUCAUACCUCCCAGCGGAAUUGCUCUCUGCCCCUUUCCUAAAAAUCUGAAGAGAGAAUGGCUCCAUGUUCUCUGCUUGGCAGAAAAUACCAGCGCCCCUCCCCAACUCCUGUCAUGCUGAUGGUCUGGAUGUCCUUCUGAACAGUGAACCUCACUGUUCCCUGUUGUAGUCACAGCUCAGGAGUGGGCCAGCCAUAGAAUGUGUCUCACCAUCCACCCAUGUGACAAUAGGGGACCUGCUGGAGCUGUUCACAGGCCAGGACACCUCAGUCUGGGCGCUGCUCCUGUGUGGCAGCCUGCCAAGGAGGUGUUUGUCCUCUUCAGACUCACCCAGGCUUCUUGGUUUGGGGGUGCCUCAGCUGAUCAGGAAAAGGGCAGGACAGCAGAAUUUCGCCUCUCUGGGACUCUCGGCCCCUAGCUCUCAGCUCACUGAACAAAUGUGGAAAACUUAGGCAGAGGAGUUGUGUGCUUAGAGUCAGUUAUUUGUAGGAGUUGCAUGAAAAUCAUGUUCCCCAUAUUCCUGCGGGUUUUUUUUUUUUUUUUUUGUCCUCCCCCCGCCACCGCAGUUUAAAAUGCAAUACAAAGAAUUGUCUUUUAAAGAAGAGCUUUAGAAACCCUGAUUCCUUUCUGUUCCUUCCAAUCCCACUCAGGUAAAACGAGUGAAUACUAAUUUGGACUGAUGGGGCAUCACUGGGAGGAAGACACGAACCUUGUGUAAGACCCAGUCCUUGCUCAUGACAGGAGAAACAGCGCUGAUGAAAUUCUUACUGAGUGCCAUGCACUGGGCUAAUGCUUUACUUAGAUUUUUUUUUUAGCCCAUACGUCAACUUUUCAAAAUGAAAAUUCUUGUUUCCAGAUGAGAAAGACAAGGGCCAGAUGUGAGCAACUUUCCAUGGGGUUUAAAUAUAUAAUAACCAUUAUAAAAAAUCGGUUGCUGUUGAGUCAAUUCCAGCUCGUGUCAGAGUAUAACUGUGCUUCAUACGGUUGUCAGUUGCUGAUUUUUCAGAAGUAGAUCUCCAGGCCUUUCUUCCGAGGUGCCUCUGGGUAGACCCAAACCUCCAGUUUUUCAAUUUGCAGCCCAGCAUGCUGUUUGUACCACCCAAACUCAAAAACUGGUUCCCGUCAAGUUGAUUCGGACCCAUAGUAACCCUAUAGUACGGAGUAGAACUGCCCUAUAGGGUUUCCAAGGAGUGGCUGCUGGAUUCGAACUGCUGACCUUUUGGUCAGCAGCCAAGCUCUUAACUACUGCGCCACCAGCAUUCCUUAUGCCACCCAGAGACUCCAAUAAUUAUCAUAGCUGACAUUGCUUGAACAAUUAUGCUGGGUAAUAUUAAACAUUUUAAACAUACUGUCUCCUUUAAUUCCAUUGCCGUCGAGUUGAUUCCAACACAUAGUGACUGUAUAGGACAGGGUAGAACUGCCCUAUAGGGCUUCCAAGGCUGUAAUCUUUACAGAAGCAGGCUGCCACAUCUCUCUCCCAUACAAUGGCUGGUGGGUUUGAACCGCAGACCUUUCUGUUAGCAGCUGAGCACUUAACUAGCCCACACCAGGGCUAACUGAUACGGCAUGACUCAAAAUAAGAAGAAACAACUGCAAACAUCCAUUAAUGUUUGGAAUGUGGAACGUAUGAAAUAUGAAUCUAGGAAAGCUGGAAGUUGUCAGAAACGAAAUGGAGCGCUUGAAGAUAGAUAUCCUAGGCAUUAGUGAGCUGAAGGAGCCCUGGUGGUGCAGUGUAAAGAGCUACAGCUGCUAACCAAACUAACCAAAAGGUCAGCAGUUUGAAUCCACCAGCCAUUCCUUGGAACCCCUAUGGGACCAUUCUACUCUGUUCGUAUAGGGUCGCUACGAGUCGGAAUUGAUGUGAUGGCAGCAGGUUUAGUGAGCUGAACUGGACUGGUGUUGGCUAUUUUGAAUUGGAUAAUCAUAUGGUCUACUAUGCCCGGAAUGAUUGUCAAAAAGAACAUUUCAAAAUCUAUCCUGAAGUACAAUACUGUCAGUGAUAAGACAUUAUCACCGAUAAUAUGACAAUUAUUCAAAUUUACACACCAACUGUAAUGCCAAAGACGAAGAAACUGAAGGUUUUUACCAACUUCUCCCGUCCUAAAUUGAUCAAGCAUGCAGUGCAAUCAAGAUGCAUUAAUAAUCACUGGUGAUUGGUAUGCAAAAGUUGGAAACGAAGAAGGAUCAGAAACUAAUUUACUCUGUAAACCUUCGUCUAAAGCAGAAUUAAAAAAACAAACAAAAAAGAUCUUUAAAAAAAAAAAGAAA